rnacentral:rRNA from 1 species
GAUCAUGGCUCAGGAUGGACGCUAGCUACAGGCUUAACACAUGCAAGUCGAGGGGCAGCAUGGUCUUAGCUUGCUAAGGCUGAUGGCGACCGGCGCACGGGUGAGUAACACGUAUCCAACCUGCCGUCUACUCUUGGCCAGCCUUCUGAAAGGAAGAUUAAUACCUGAUGGUAUCUUAAGCACACAUGUAAUUAAGAUUAAAGAUUUAUCGGUGUACGAUGGGG